UCUCCUGUGUUAAGGUGCAUCUAGUGCAGUUAGUGAAGCAACUUCGAAUCUACUGCCCUAAAUGCCCCUUCUGGCACAGGCU
rnacentral:pre_miRNA from 1 species